rnacentral:rRNA from 1 species
AGAGUUUGAUCCUGGCUCAGAACGAACGCUGGCGGCGUGUUUAAGACAUGCAAGUCGAACGGAGUGAAGUUGUAGCAAUACCGCUUCAUUCAGUGGCGCACGGGUGCGUAACACGUGAGUUACAUGCCCUGCAGUGGGGAAUAGCCCGCCGAAAGGCGGAUUAAUACCCCAUGGUCCCGCAAGGGUAAAGGUGGCCGCAAGGCUGUCGCUGCAGGAUUGGCUCGCGCCCUAUCAGCUUGUUGGUGAGGUAACGGCUCACCAAGGCUACGACGGGUACCUGGUCUGAGAGGAUGAUCAGGCACACUGGAACUGAGACACGGUCCAGACACCUACGGGUGGCAGCAGUCGAGAAUAAUUCACAAUGGGGGAAACCCUGAUGGUGCAACGCCGCGUGGAGGAUGAAGGUCUUCGGAUUGUAAACUCCUGUCAUCGGGGAGUAAGACCUGGAGGUGAAUAGCCUACAGGGUUGAUAGUACCCGAAGAGGAAGGGACGGCUAACUUCGUGCCAGCAGCCGCGGUAAUACGAAGGUCCCAAGCGUUGUUCGGAAUCACUGGGCGUAAAGGGAGCGUAGGCGGCGUGGUAAGUCAGAUGUGAAAUCCCGGGGCUCAACCCCGGAACUGCAUCCGAUACUGCCGUGCUUGAGGGUUGGAGAGGUAGCUGGAAUUCUCGGUGUAGCAGUGAAAUGCGUGGAUAUCGAGAGGAACACUCGUGGCGAAGGCGAGCUACUGGACAACAUCUGACGCUGAGGCUCGAAGGCUAGGGGAGCAAAAGGGAUUAGAUACCCCUGUAGUCCUAGCAG